UGGGUAUAUUUGGACUUCUGACUUAAUAAUUUGUCUUGAUGUUGUGUAUUCAAUUUAGAAAUGAUCAAUCACUAAAUAACUUUCACUUCACCAAGCAGAACCAGAGACUAUUUGACAGCUAUUAUAGAGAAGUUGACCUUUGUGCUUAUAUUUCAGUGCACCAGAAGUUUAGCAAUAUUUAUUCAGGUUAAAUUAUGCAUAUUUAAAAACUGUAUUUAAAUGAACAGCUGCUUAAGUAUAUUCUUUAUAAGACUGAGAUUAUAAGAAAAAGAUUUGUGUGAUCUGUCCAAGACAAUGUGGUAUUUAAAUGAUUUCAACCUGUCUUGCUGACUUUUUAAAAUCAGGAAAUAUUUUUAAAGUAGAAUUUCCUAAGAUAUUUUUUGAUUAGAAAGAAAUCGAGUUUGAGUAAAGAGGCAUUGGAGUGAGAGAGGAUGGGGGCCAUAUCAGACUGAAAGCCUUUUUCAACACAGAGGAAGGAAAUGGUGUCACUAUAAGACUGUGAAGCAAAUAUGUUUCCUUGUGUUUUUGUACCACAAUGUUAAAAAACAUCAUAUUUUAAUUUCAGGCCUUAUAAACUAAAGAUGUCCUCUAAAAUUAAUUAUACUUAUUAUUUUGGAUCAGAGUCUGUGGCUGACUACAUCUGUGAGAAACUUCAUUGUGCUUCCUAAUUAAGAAACCGAGUCUAGCUGGCUGAUGGGAAGGAAAAAUAGUUUAAUUCAAAGGGAAAUGUAAUACUGUGAGAAUAAGCAAAUAAUUUUUCUCCGCCGGGCUUUCAGUGGGAGCAGAGCUUCCCAAAUCAUCUGCAUGGUGUAUCUACUGUGCAUUUUAUUAUUUCCCCCACUUGUGUCUUUCUUAUAACGUUACAGCUAAAGGUUUUACUUAACCAAUUCCCUUCAAACGUUCUUCCUCUCUAUCCUGCACAGUGGUGUGGUUUCAGCAGACUGCUAAGAACAACUCCAAGUCAGACUUUCUCCUUUUGGUCCCUCCUCCCGUUUUGAAAUUUUGUUUUUCGUUUCUAUAUACAUCAAAAUGUUUAAAACUUAAAAAAAAAAAUAAUCCCCCCCCCCCCCCCAAGGCUCCGCUAGAAAAGAAAAGGAAAAAGGAAACAAAAACCCUACGGGAUCGUCCCCAGGAGCGCCGAGACCGCCAGUUAAUAAGUUCAGCCAGGUGAUCGGGGUGGGGGAGAGGCAGUUCGUGGCUCCCUGACCCCAAGGAGAACUUGACAACACCAGGGUGACUUUACAUAAAGGAGCUCGGAGGAAAAGGCUAAUGGAGUCCAAUCGAGAGCCGUCAGUUGCAUGCACGCAGACCUCGGUGGCAUUCGCUGUUGGAAUUGCUUCUUCAACAGUGACCUUGGGUGGGAGAGAGCCUGUCUGGAGCCGGACCCCCCGUAGCGGCCUCUUACCUCGACCCCCUGGCCUCCCACGGCGUCUCCAGUGGACCGUGUACUCCUAAAGACGUCCCCCACCGGCCAGCUGAGCGGCGCAUCUCCAGAGCCGCUCCCGCCCCUCGCCUCCCUCGCUACAGUCCCAGCGCUUUUUAAAACUUUGAGCGCAGCUUUUACGUGACUGGAGAGUCAUAAAUGCUCCUGCCCUUGUUCAGCCAACAUAGACACCCUUGCGUCCCCUUCACAUUUCAUGAAUUACGAGAAUAUAUAAAGCUAACAUUCCAAAAAUAA